GCAUCUGUAGUCUAGUGGUAGGACUGCAGCUUCCCAAGCUGCAAACCCGGGUUCGAAUCCCGGCAGUUGCACCA
rnacentral:tRNA from 1 species